rnacentral:rRNA from 1 species
GACGAUCAGUAGUCGGCCUGAGAGGGUGACCGGCCACAUUGGGACUGAGACACGGCCCAAACUCCUACGGGAGGCAGCAGUGGGGAAUCUUCCGCAAUGGGCGAAAGCCUGACGGAGCAACGCCGCGUGAUCGAAUGAAGGCCUUCGGGUUGUAAAGAUCUGUUGACAGGGACGAAUAAGCAAUGCGAAUAGUUUUGUGUAUGACGGUACCUGUUUAGAAAGCUCCGGCUAACUACGUGCCAGCAGCCGCGGUAAUACGUAGGGAGCAAGCGUUGUCCGGAAUUACUGGGCGUAAAGGGCGCGUAGGUGGGCGCUUAAGUCAGGUGUGAAAACUCCGGGCUCAACCUGGAGACUGCACUUGAAACUGGGUGUCUUGAGGGCAGGAGAGGAAAGUGGAAUUCCUAGUGUAGCGGUGAAAUGCGUAGAUAUUAGGAGGAACACCAGUGGCGAAGGCGACUUUCUGGACUGUACCUGACGCUGAGGCGCGAAAGCGUGGGUAGCGAACGGGAUUAGAUACCCCGGUAGUCCACGCCGUAAACGAUGAAUACUAGGUGUAGGAGGUAUCGACUCCUUCU